AUUGAACGCUGGCGGCAGGCCUAACACAUGCAAGUCGAGCGGAAACGGCAUAACGGAACCUUCGGGUGAAGAUAUGGACGUCGAGCGGCGGACGGGUGAGUAAUGCUUAGGAAAUUGCCCAGUAGAGUGGGAUAACUAUUGGAAACGAUAGCUAAUACCGCAUAAUAUCUUCGGAUCAAAGUGGGGGGACCAUUUGGCCUCAUGCUACUGGAUAUGCCUAAGUGAGAUUAGCUAGUUGGUGAGGUAAGAGCUCACCAAGGCGACGAUCUCUAGCUGGUCUGAGAGGAUGAUCAGCCACACUGGAACUGAGACACGGUCCAGACUCCUACGGGAGGCAGCAGUGGGGAAUAUUGCACAAUGGGCGCAAGCCUGAUGCAGCCAUGCCGCGUGUGUGAAGAAGGCCUUCGGGUUGUAAAGC
rnacentral:rRNA from 1 species